AAUUUAUUAUAUCAAAAAUAUUCACACAUAUCUUUGAUGAUAUGACAAAAACACUAUCCUUUUCCAUUUACAUAAUCUACACACGUUUUUGAAAUAUAACGUAAUUAUGCUAUAAAUGUCAUAUGUACAAGAUAGUAUGGUGAUCGCUUUUCUAAAUAUAUAUGUGUUACUUGUAUAUAAUAUAAUACUUCCAUUUAUUUGUCGUUUUCAGAUAAAAUGCACUAAUCAAUAACUCGACACAUAGUAACAUAAUACGCUUUUUGUGUGAUAUAACCAUGCUGCAUGUUGUUGUUUUUUUUUAGGAAUUAUCAAUUCAACAAAGUUUUAACUUAAGAAUAAUUUAAAUACACGUUGUGAUUUCAUAUAAAUGUUUAAGAGAAAGUUUGAAUUAUUCAAAUGCUAAUUUAGUUCGUUCAACAAGACGACAUCUAACGUAUUUUAAGAAAGGAAAAUUAUAAGUUAUACACUGUCACUUCUACAGCAGGUGUGUAAUAUAGAUUUUUUUUUAAUUCAUAACAAACAUAAAUUGAAUAAAUAUGUAUGACUAGUAAAUGUAUACUACUUUAAUAUAUUCAAAUUCCAUGUUUG
rnacentral:lncRNA from 1 species